CCUACGGGAGGCAGCAGUGGGGAAUAUUGGGCAAUGGGCGCAAGCCUGACCCAGCAACGCCGCGUGAAGGAAGAAGGCUUUCGGGUUGUAAACUUCUUUUCUCAGGGACGAAGAAAGUGACGGUACCUGAGGACUACGCCACGGCUAACUCCGGGCCAGAAGCCGCGGGAAGACGUAGGUGGCAAGCGUGAUCCGCAUUUAUUGGGUGUAAAGGGCGGGUAGGCGGGAGCGCAAGUCAGAUGUGAACACGCAGGGCUCAACCCUGAGCCUGCAUUUGAAACUGUGUUUCUUGAGUGCUGGAGAGGCAAUCGGCGUUCCGUGUGUAGCGGUGAAAUGCGUAGAUAUACGGAGGAACACCAGUGGCGCAGGCGGAUUGCUGGACAGUAACUGACGCUGAGGCGCGAACGCGUGGGGAGCAAACAGGAUUAGAUACCCCAGUAGUC
rnacentral:rRNA from 1 species